GUGAAUCAUCAAAUUUUUGAACGCAAAUUGCACUCUCUUCAGAGAGUAUGCCUGUUUGAGGGUCAGUAUUAAUAAAAAUCGGUGUGUCGUCUCUUUGUGACGCUCCGGUGUUUGGGUCAUCUUAAUAUCCUUUAGGUUUUAAGUGGUUUAGAAUUGACUUUUUUUGCGCAUUUUUCGACGUACUUAAAUUUUUUUUUAUUCGUCUAUUUUUAAUGCCAAAAUCUUAUUAGAUGCGAUCACAUCGUGUGGUUUCGUGUCCAUAAAAUUUUCAUGAUUUGA
rnacentral:misc_RNA from 1 species